GUGGGGAAUUUUGGACAAUGGGCGCAAGCCUGAUCCAGCAAUGCCGCGUGCAGGAAGAAGGCCUUCGGGUUGUAAACUGCUUUUGUACGGAACGAAACGGUCCGGGUUAAUACCCUGGGCUAAUGACGGUACCGUAAGAAUAAGCACCGACUAACUACGUGCCAGCAGCCGCGGUAAUACGUAGGGUGCAAGCGUUAAUCGGAAUUACUGGGCGUAAAGCGUGCGCAGGCGGUUUUGUAAGACAGGCGUGAAAUCCCCGGGCUCAACCUGGGAAUUGCGCUUGUGACUGCAAGGCUGGAGUGCGGCAGAGGGGGAUGGAAUUCCGCGUGUAGCAGUGAAAUGCGUAGAUAUGCGGAGGAACACCGAUGGCGAAGGCAAUCCCCUGGGCCUGCACUGACGCUCAUGCACGAAAGCGUGGGGAGCAAACAGGAUUAGAAACCCCAGUAGUCC
rnacentral:rRNA from 1 species